rfam:Otolemur garnettii contig183601, whole genome shotgun sequence.
GUAUCCAUCUCACUUCAGCAGCACAUAUACUAAAAUUGGAUGGAUACAGAGGAGAUUAGCAUGGCUCCUGCUCAAGGAUGACACACAAAUUCAUGAAGCAUUGCAUAUUUUU